rnacentral:rRNA from 1 species
UUCCGGUUGAUCCCGCCGGACCCGACUGCUAUUUGGGUGAGAAUAAGCCAUGCGAGUUGAAUGGGAUGCCUAAAGUUCCCAUAGCAAACUGCUCAGUAACACAUGAUCAACUUACCCUAUAGAGAAAAAUAACCUCGGGAAACUGAGGAUAAUGUUUCAUAAUUGAAUUGGCUUGGAAAAGUUUUUCAAUGAAAGGGAUAAAAAAAAUGGUUUUUAUCUGCUAUAGGAUAGGAUCGUGUUCGAUUAUGGUUGUUGGUGAGAUAAUGGCUCACCAAGCCGAUAAUCGAUAGGGGCCGUGAGAGCGGGAGCCCCGAGAUGGGUACUGAGACAACGACCCAGGCCUUACGAGGCGCAGCAGGCGCGGAACCUCCGCAAUACACGAAAGUGUGACGGGGUUACCCAAAGUGUUCAAUAGAACUGUGGUAGGUGAGUAAUGUCCCCUACUAGAAAGGAGAGGGCAAGGCUGGUGCCAGCCGCCGCGGUAAAACCAGCUCUUCAAGUGGUCGGGAUAAUUAUUGGGCUUAAAGUGUCCGUAGCCGGUUUAGCAAGUUCCUGGUAAAAUCGGGUAGCUUAACUAUCUGCAUGCUAGGAAUACUGCUAUACUAGAGGGCGGGAGAGGUCUGAGGUACUACAGGGGUAGGGGUGAAAUCUUAUAAUCCUUGUAGGACCACCAGUGGCGAAGGCGUCAGACUGGAACGCGCCUGACGGUGAGGGACGAAAGCCAGGGGAGCGAACCGGAUUAGAUACCCGGGUAGUCCUGGCCGUAAACGAUGCAUACUAGGUGAUGGUACGGCCAUGAGCCGUAUCAGUGCCGUAGGGAAACCGUUAAGUGUGCCGCCUGGGAAGUACGGUCGCAAGGCUAAAACUUAAAGGAAUUGGCGGGGGAGCACCACAAGGGGUGAAGCCUGCGGUUCAAUUGGAUUCAACGCCGGGAAUCACUAGUGCGGCCG